rnacentral:rRNA from 1 species
GACGAACGCUGGCGGCGUGCUUAACACAUGCAAGUCGAACGGAAAGGCCCUGCUUUUGUGGGGUGCUCGAGUGGCGAACGGGUGAGUAACACGUGAGUAACCUGCCCUUGACUUUGGGAUAACUUCAGGAAACUGGGGCUAAUACCGGAUAGGAGCUCCUGCUGCAUGGUGGGGGUUGGAAAGUUUCGGCGGUUGGGGAUGGACUCGCGGCUUAUCAGCUUGUUGGUGGGGUAGUGGCUUACCAAGGCUUUGACGGGUAGCCGGCCUGAGAGGGUGACCGGCCACAUUGGGACUGAGAUACGGCCCAGACUCCUACGGGAGGCAGCAGUGGGGAAUAUUGCACAAUGGGCGGAAGCCUGAUGCAGCAACGCCGCGUGCGGGAUGACGGCCUUCGGGUUGUAAACCGCUUUCGCCUGUGACGAAGCGUGAGUGACGGUAAUGGGUAAAGAAGCACCGGCUAACUACGUGCCAGCAGCCGCGGUGAUACGUAGGGUGCGAGCGUUGUCCGGAUUUAUUGGGCGUAAAGGGCUCGUAGGUGGUUGAUCGCGUCGGAAGUGUAAUCUUGGGGCUUAACCCUGAGCGUGCUUUCGAUACGGGUUGACUUGAGGAAGGUAGGGGAGAAUGGAAUUCCUGGUGGAGCGGUGGAAUGCGCAGAUAUCAGGAGGAACACCAGUGGCGAAGGCGGUUCUCUGGGCCUUUCCUGACGCUGAGGAGCGAAAGCGUGGGGAGCGAACAGGCUUAGAUACCCUGGUAGUCCACGCUGUAAACGGUGGGUACUAGGUGUGGGGUCCACUCCACGGGUUCCGUGCCGUAGCUAACGCUUUAAGUACCCCGCCUGGGGAGUACGGCCGCAAGGCUAAAACUCAAAGGAAUUGACGGGGCCCCGCACAAGCGGCGGAGCAUGCGGAUUAAUUCGAUGCAACGCGUAGAACCUUACCUGGGUUUGACAUGGAUCGGGAGUGCUCAGAGAUGGGUGUGCCUCUUUUGGGGUCGGUUCACAGGUGGUGCAUGGCUGUCGUCAGCCCGUGUCGUGAGAUGUUGGGUUAAGUCCCGCAACGAGCGCAACCCUUGUUUACUGUUGCCAGCACGUUAUGGUGGGGACUCAGUGGAGACCGCCGGGGUCAACUCGGAGGAAGGUGGGGAUGACGUCAAGUCAUCAUGCCCCUUAUGUCCAGGGCUUCACGCAUGCUACAAUGGCUGGUACAGAGAGUGGCGAGCCUGUGAGGGUGAGCGAAUCUCGGAAAGCCGGUCUCAGUUCGGAUUGGGGUCUGCAACUCGACCUCAUGAAGUCGGAGUCGCUAGUAAUCGCAGAUCAGCAACGCUGCGGUGAAUACGUUCCCGGG